GGACUCUAGCAGGGUGAGUUGUUUUCUGUAAGGUCCCUGCGUAUUAAUUUUAGUUUAUAUUUAUACUUUCAGAAGUGUUAAGUGUAAAAAGGACUUCUUUUAUCCGUGAAAUCACUUUUUGAAGAUUUCAAAAUGUCUGUAUAAUACAUAGAUUUAAAAUAAAAUUUCUAAUAACUCUAUAAAACCUACGUGAACAAAAUAAUAAAAUUUAUUUAGAGCAUAUCAAAGAAGACACAAAUGAAUGGAAAUUUGUACCAUUUCUGAAAUGGAAGAAUUCAAUAUAAUGAAAAUACCAAGUUAAUCUAUCCAGUUAACUUCAGUGCCAAUCAAAGUUACAAUGCAAGUGGAAGGAAGGGAAGUAUUAUUCUUUGUAAUUUAAAGACUUCAGGUUUCUUUUUUUAACUUUGGCAAGCUUUUCACCUGGGAGAAUAAACAAAUGAAAAAAGCCAAGAGACAUGUGAGGAGGGUGAAAAACGGAUGUGGACCUAGCAGCUUGCAGGUCAUCUGCACAUUCCACUAUAGGAAGUAUUAACUGUGCACGUGAAUCACCUUGGUAAUCAGAGGGUAUUUUCUAAAUUAACAUUUCUUAUUCAGUGUUUUCCAGGGUGCCUGACGAUUCAGAUUCGCACUGUCCUGUGUAUUUUCAUAGUGGUCUUAAUCUACUCAGUAGCCCAAGGUUGUGUGGUGGGCUGCCUGCCUUGGGCCUGGAGCUCCAAGCCCAACAGUUCCCUGGUGGUCCUUUCGUCUGGGGGCCAGCGCACAG
rnacentral:lncRNA from 10 species